AAACUUUCACAGCACCAGCUGCGAUUCUCAAUGAUGUGGCAGGAGAAGACUUUGACCCAUUUGCUGAACAUCGGAUAUCAACUAUUGCUGAUAGAGAAGAUGAAUACAGAGCAAUGCGUUGGAAGUUGAUUAUUUCCCCAGAACGUGUUGAUUCAUUUGCUGAAGAGUGCCAUAGCAACCAGUUAAGUUAAAAGCUCUUGGAGGUGGAUUAUUCACUUGUGGGCCAGGAGCUGAUCUGCUCAAAUUCCCC